rnacentral:tRNA from 1 species
GAAAAAGUAAUUAAAAAAAUAAUAUAACCUUGUCAAAGUUAACUUGUCAAAAAAGGCCUUUUUCU